GACGAACGCUGGCGGCGUGCUUAACACAUGCAAGUCGAGCGAGGCCCACCUUUCGGGGUGGUGUCCUAGCGGCAAACGGGUGAGUAACACGUGGGCAACCUGCCCCCGGCUCGGGGAUAACCCCAAGAAAUUGGGGCUAAUACCGGAUACGACCGCUGACCGCAUGGUCUGGUGGUGGAAAGAUUUAUCGGCUGGGGAUGGGCCCGCGGCCUAUCAGCUUGUUGGUGGGGUAGUGGCCUACCAAGGCGACGACGGGUAGCCGGCCUGAGAGGGUGACCGGCCACACUGGGACUGGGACACGGCCUAGACGCGUAGGGGAGACAGCAGUGGGGAAUAUUGCGCAAUGGGCGGAAGCCUGACGCAGCGACGCCGCGUGGGGGAUGACGGCCUUCGGGUUGUAAACCUCUUUCGGCAGGGACGAAGCCCGCAAGGGUGACGGUACCUGCAGAGGAAGCACCGGCCAACUACGUGCCAGCGGCCGCCGUAAAAC
rnacentral:rRNA from 1 species